CAGGGACACCGUCAGGGGCCCUGACAGUGGGGCAGCUGGAAGCUGUGAGCAAAUCUCAUUCUUCACAGCAGGGAGAUAUGAGCAGCACACACCAUGGCUACCUGAGGUCAAUGCUUUUUUGGAAACAAAAACAAGAACAAAAACAAAACCUUUAAACAGAACACUAUGCUUAGUUCCUGAGACAGGUUCCACACGUGACAAGAUCUCUGGCAAGAGGCUUCCCCAAAGCCAGAGGCUCGAUGUUUCAGCCUGCCAAGGGAAAAUAAUUCUAAACCUAGUCAGAUCAUCAAUCAAGUGGGCUACUAUCAAGAUGUAUUUCAGGCAUGGAAGGUCUCAAAACAUUUCCUUCUCAAAUAUCCUUUUGCAUGGAGCUCCUGGGACUGUGCUCCACCAAAAAUGAAGUACACUGGCUAAGACAUAAUCUGAUUCAGGAAGCAGAGAUCCAGC
rnacentral:lncRNA from 1 species